rnacentral:rRNA from 1 species
CAGCCGCCGCGGUAAAACGGAGGGUGCAAGCGUUAAUCGGAAUUACUGGGCGUAAAGUGCGCGUAGGUGGUUUGUUAAGUUGGAUGUGAAAUCCCCGGGCUCAACCUGGGAACUGCAUCCAAAACUGGCAAGCUAGAGUAUGGUAGAGGGUGGUGGAAUUUCCUGUGUAGCGGUGAAAUGCGUAGAUAUAGGAAGGAACACCAGUGGCGAAGGCGACCACCUGGACUGAUACUGACACUGAGGUGCGAAAGCGUGGGGAGCAAACAGGAUUAGAUACCCCGGUAGUCCCUGUCUCUUAUAC